UUGAAAGGGAAACGAUUGAAGUCAGUCGUACCGACGAGAAAUCAGCUUUUCGAAUGUGCAUUUGUGGGCGUAUGAGAUCUUCAUUGUUUGCAAUAUGUAUGUUUCUUUGGUGUACUUUUUCGUAUGGUAGGUCAACGUCGGUUUUGGUCGCCCAUAAAAUGAUCGGAGGAAUGUAGCUUCGGCCUCGGUUGAAGUGUUAUAGCCUUUGGUAAAUGUGGUGAUUAAGACCGAGGAUUGCAACGAAUACCUUUUAGGCUAUCCGUCUGACCUCUGAAAGUUACUUAGGUGCCGAAAGCUUGCUUACGGUCAUUUAAGUUGACGGUCAAUAGGUUAGAACGUGAUUCAUUCGUUAAGGAUGUUGACGUA
rnacentral:rRNA from 1 species